rnacentral:rRNA from 1 species
GGUUGCGAUCAUACCAACACUAAUGCACCGGAUUCCAUCAGAUUCCGUAGUUAAGCGUGCUUGGGCGAGAGUAGUACUAGGAUGGGUGACCCCUGGGAAGUCCUCGUGUUGCAACUA